rnacentral:rRNA from 1 species
UACGUAGGGGGCUAGCGUUGUCCGGAAUCAUUGGGCGUAAAGCGCGUGUAGGCGGCCCGGUAAGUCCGCUGUGAAAGUCGGGGGCUCAACCUGGGAAUUGCAUUCGAGACUGCAUUGCUGGAGUACGGAAGAGGAAGGCGGAAUUCCCGGUGUAGCGGUGAAAUGCGUAGAUAUCGGGAGGAACAUCAGUGGCGAAGGCGGCCUUCUGGUCCAGUACUGACACUCAAGUGCGAAAGCGUGGGGAGCAAACAGG